UGGGGAAUAUUGCACAAUGGGCGCAAGCCUGAUGCAGCCAUGCCGCGUGUGUGAAGAAGGCCUUCGGGUUGUAAAGCACUUUCAGCGAGGAGGAAGGUGGUGAACUUAAUACGUUCAUCAAUUGACGUUACUCGCAGAAGAAGCACCGGCUAACUCCGUGCCAGCAGCCGCGGUAAUACGGAGGGUGCAAGCGUUAAUCGGAAUUACUGGGCGUAAAGCGCACGCAGGCGGUUUGUUAAGUCAGAUGUGAAAUCCCCGGGCUCAACCUGGGAACUGCAUUUGAAACUGGCAAGCUAGAGUCUCGUAGAGGGGGGUAGAAAUUCCAGGUGUAGCGGUGAAAUGCGUAGAGAUCUGGAGGAAUACCGGUGGCGAAGGCGGCCCCCUGGACGAAGACUGACGCUCAGGUGCGAAAGCGUGGGGAGCAAAACAGGAUUAGAUACCCUGGUAGUCCACGCUGUAAAACGAUGUCGAUUUUGGAGGUUGUGCCCUUGAGGCGUGGCUUCCGGAGCUAACGCGUUAAAUCGACCGCCUGGGGAGUACGGCC
rnacentral:rRNA from 1 species